UCCCUGCUGUCUCAGAUGGUAAAGAAUCUGCCUGUGAUGCAGGAGAACUGGGUUCGACCCCUGGGUCAGGAA
rnacentral:tRNA from 1 species